AUUGAACGCUGGCGGCGGGCCUAACACAUGCAAGUCGAACGAGUGGCGCACGGGUGAGUAAUGUAUAGGAAAAUGCCCGAUGGAGGGGGAUCACUACUGGAAACGGUCGGUAAUUCCGCCUACCAUCGGAUGUGCCCAGAUGGGAUUAGCUGGUAGGUGAGGUAACGGCUCACCUAGGCGACGAGCCCUAGCUGGUCUGAGAGGAUGACCAGGUAAACGGGAAGUGAGGAUCGGUCCAGACUCCGACGCGAGGAAACAGUGGAGAAUCUUCCGCAAGGGGCCCGAGCCGGAUGCAGCCAUGCGGCGUGUAUGAAGCAGGGCUUCGGGUCGUAGAGUACUUUCAGUGGGGAGGCGGUACCUGCAGAAGAAGCACCGGCUAACUCCGUGCCAGCAGCCGCGGUAAUUC
rnacentral:rRNA from 1 species